AAUUGGGUAUUCUAUUAUAGAGGCUGAUUUUCAGAGAAGACUUGAUUUGUCCCCAAUUU
rnacentral:tRNA from 1 species